GAUGAACGCUGGCGGCGUGCCUAAUACAUGCAAGUCGAGCGAACAGACGAGGAGCUUGCUCCUCUGACGUUAGCGGCGGACGGGUGAGUAACACGUGGAUAACCUACCUAUAAGACUGGGAUAACUUCGGGAAACCGGAGCUAAUACCGGAUAAUAUAUUUAACCGCAUGGUUCAAUAGUGAAAGACGGUUUUGCUUUCACUUAUAGAUGGAUCCGCGCCGCAUUAGCUAGUUGGUAAGGUAACGGCUUACCAAGGCAACGAUGCGUAGCCGACCUGAGAGGGUGAUCGGCAACACUGGAACUGAGACACGGUCAAGACUCCUACGGGAGGCAGAAGUAGGGAAUCCUCCGCAAUGGGCGAAAGCUUGACGGAGCAAGGCCGCGUGAGUGAUGAAGGUCUUCGGAUCGUAAAACUCUGUUAUUAGGGAAGAACAAAUGUGUAAGUAACUAUGCACGUCUUGACGGUACCUAAUCAGAAAGCCACGGCUAACUACGUG
rnacentral:rRNA from 1 species